CAGUCGAGGGGCAGCAUGGUCUUAGCUUGCUAAGGCCGAUGGCGACCGGCGCACGGUUGAGUAACACGUAUCCAACCUGCCGUCUACUCUUGGACAGCCUUCUGAAAGGAAGAUUAAUACAAGAUGGCAUCAUGAGUCCACAUGUUCACAUGAUUAAAGGCAUUCCGGUAGACGAUGGGGAUGCGUUCCAUUAGAUAGUAGGCGGGGUAACGGCCCACCUAGUCUUCGAUGGAUAGGGGUUCUGAGAGGAAGGUCCCCCACAUUGGAACUGAGACACGGUCCAAACUCCUACGGGAGGCAGCAGUGAGGAAUAUUGGUCAAUGGGCGAGAGCCUGAACCAGCCAAGUAGCGUGAAGGAUGACUGCCCUAUGGGUUGUAAACUUCUUUUAUAAAGGAAUAAAGUCGGGUAUGGAUACCCGUUUGUAUGUACUUUAUGAAUAAGGAUCGGCUAACUCCGUGCCAGCAGCCGCGGUAAUACGGAGGAUCCGAGCGUUAUCCGGAUUUAUUGGGUUUAAAGGGAGCGUAGAUGGAU
rnacentral:rRNA from 1 species